AGUUUUGUGCAGUGGCAGUAUCGUAGCCAAUGAGGUUUAUCCAAGACACGAUUAUUGCUAAUUGAAAACUUUUCCCAUAAGUCAGAAAGUGAGCAAAGGAGCAGAAGUCUAGGUCCCUCAGCAAGCAUAGCAGCUUUCUGGCAUGGCUGGUGGAGCUAAGGAAAAAAAUAAAAAACACUUAGGAUCCUGGAACUUCUCGGGGGGGAAAGAGACCAUUUAAGAUAAAGUGUUUGACUUUGGUUUUAAUUUUAGGAGACUUUUACUAAAA
ensembl:snRNA U4 U4 spliceosomal RNA